GACGUAGGGCGCGAGCGUUGUCCGGAUUUAUUGGGCGUAAAGAGCUCGUAGGCGGCUUGUUGCGUCGUCCGUGAAAACUUGUGGCUUAACCACAGGCUGGCGGUCGAUACGGGCAGGCUGGAGUUCGGUAGGGGAGACUGGAAUUCCUGGUGUAGCGGUGAAAUGCGCAGAUAUCAGGAGGAACACCGAUUGCGAAGGCAGCUCGCUGGGACGUUACUGACGCUGAGACGCGAAAGCGUGGGGAGCAAACAGG
rnacentral:rRNA from 1 species